ensembl:lncRNA
AAACAAACUGAAAUCUUUGAGGGGGAAAAAUGAAAAAGAAAAACCUUAAAAUAACCUGGUUGCAUAAGUGUGCACACCCUCUUAUAAAUGGGGACGUGGCUGUGUUCAGAAUUAACCAGUCACAUUCAAACUCAUGUUAAAAAGAAGUCAUUACACACUUGCCAUCAUUUAAAGUGACUGAUUACUCACAAAUAAAGUUCAGCUUUUCUAGUAGGAUUUUCCUGACAUUUUCUUAGUUCCAUCUCAGAGCAAAAGCCAUGGUCCGCAGAAAGCUUCCAAAGCAUCAGAGGGAUCUAACUGUUGAAAGAUAUCAGUCAGGAGAAGGGUGCAAAAUUUCUAAAGCAUUAGAUAUACCAUGGAACAAAGUGAAGUGGAGAAAAUAUGGCACAACAGAGACAUUACCAAGAACUGGACGCCCCUCCAAAAUGUAUGAAAAGAUAAAAAGAAAACUGGUCAGGGAGGCUUCCAAGAGGCCUACAGCUACAUUAAAUGAACUUCAGGAAUUUCUGGCAAGUAGUGGCUGUGUGCUACAUGUGACAAAAAUCUUCAUAUGAAUGGGCUUUAGGGUAGUGUGGCAAGACGGAAGCUCUUUCUUACAAAGAAAAACAUCCAAGCACGGCUGAUAUUUGCAAAAACAAACAUAAAGUAUCCCAAAAGCACAUGGGAGAACGUGUUAUGGUCUGAUGAAACCAAGGUUGAAAAUUUUGGCCAUAAUUACAAAAGGUAUGUUUGGCGCAAAGACAACACUGCACAUCACCCAAAGAACACCAUACCCACAGUGAAGCAUGGUGGUGGCAGCAUCAUGCUUUGGGGCUGUUUUCUUCAGCUGGAACCAGGGCCUUGGUCAGGGUGGAGGGAAUUAUGAACAGUUCCAAAUACUAGGCAAUUUUGGCACAAAACCUUCAGGCGUCCGUUAGAAAGAUGAAGAUGAAGAGGAAGUUCACCUUUCAGCACGACACCAACCCAAAGCACACUUGCAUAUCCACAAAAGCAUGGCUUCAUCAGAAGAAGAUUAACGUUUUGGAAUGGCUUAGCCAGAGCCCAGACCUAAAUCCAAUUGCACAUCUGUGGGGUGAUCUGAAGAGAGCUGUGCACAGGAUAUGACAGAUUUGUAGCGCUUUUGCAAAGAAGAGUGGGCAAAUAUUGGCACAUCAAGAUGUGCCAUGCUAACCGACUCCUACGCAAAAAGUGUGAGUGCUCUAAUAAAAUCAAAAGGUGCUUCAACAAAGUAUUAGUUUAAUGGUGUGCACACUUAUGCAACCAGGUUAUUGUGAGUUUUUAAUUUUCCCCCCUCAAAGAUUUCAGUUUGUUUUUCAAUUGAAUUGUUCACGUUAUAGGUCACAUUAAAGGUGGAAAAAGUUCUGACAUGAUUAUCUUUGUCUCAUUCUUUUACAUCACAAGAACCUGGCAUUUUAACAGGGGUGUGUAGACUUUUUAUAUCCUCGGGUAUAGGCCUGCAUUUGAAGGCCACAUAGUGUCAGGCUGUGAACAUGACCCAGUCUCCUGAACAUCAGUGUUGCACUGAGAACCAAGGGACUGGUACUGGAGCGUCAUGUCAGCAAAAGCCUGUUCCAUGUAGCUGUCAUGUAACCCGGCCACCUCCAGACUGAACACCUGCCUGUGGCCCCUCACAACAACAACAUCAGGUGUAUUCAGGACGCCAGAGGACACAUCGUUAUUAUUACCUAAACAUGCAUAAACGCACGCACUCAGAUUUACAGCUCUGUUUCGAUAAAGCCACCAUGUUCAUGGGAGACUAUAACCCAGACUGAGAGGGCAGCAGACUGGGUCUGGAAAGUCAGCACUCUUUCUGCCAACCAGCCCUUCUCUCUAAUGACGUGGCAACAUUUCAUCCCUGCAUCAAUCCAGCCCUUCGCUCCAUCACUCACGUUCAUCCACUCCUUCCCAUUUCAUCAGUCCAUCCAUCCACUCUUUCACUUCAUCCCUCCAUCCCUUCCACUCCAUAUACAUUUUAAUCACAAGCAUUCUGGAGGUGAUGCGAUGUGUGAAGUGAAGGGUAGAGGAUUAGACUUGGCAGUGUGUGUGGGUGUGUGUGUGUAUAUGUGUGUAUGUGUGUGUGUGUGUCUACGCAUCUUGCAUCCUGUGUCUGUGUAUGCAGAUGCACUGACUGGUUUGUGUGUGUGUGUGUGCAGUCACUGUGAUUGUGAUUUAAAUGACAUUUCUGACUCGUGCUCAAUGUUAGUGGUAAUUUUGCAUUUACAUUUUCCCCAGAGUUUACAAUGGGAUCAUAUAUUCUACCUCUCAAUUUGUCUAAUGAGCGUUUUUUUCAUUACAUUAAAAGAACAUGGAGAGGGGGAUAGAUGGAUGGAUAUAGACAGAGAAAAAUAAAGAGAGACAAGAAGGCAGGACAGAGAGACCAGAAGGCAGGACAGAAAGACAAGAAGGCAGGACAGAAAGACAAGGAGAAAGACAGGACAGAGUCAAGAAGAAAGACAGGACAGAGUCAAGAAGAAAGGCAGGUCAGAGAGAUAAGACAAAAGACAGGACAGAGUCAAGAAGAAAGACAGGUCAGAGAGAUAAGACAAAAGACAGGACAGAGUCAAGAAGAAAGGCAGGUUAGAGAAAUAAGACAAAAGACAGGACAGAGUCAAGAAGAAAGACAGGUCAGAGAGAUAAGACAAAAGACAGGUCAGAGUCAAGAAGAAAGACAGGUCAGAGAGAUAAGACGAAAGACUAAGCCGAGGCCCCAUGAAACCAUCAAAGCCACAGUUUCAGUCACAAUCUGUGGUGAAUCUGAGCAACAACUACUGGUAUAUGAAGGCAUGUGUGAGUAGACCUCAGAAAUCUGUGUUGCCAUUGGAGCAGCACAACAAUGACAGGUCAUGUUUUAAGUCACAUCCCACACUACGUACAGUGGUCCAGUGUGUUGCCCUGAAUAGAAAAUACAUGGUGUUACUCUAGACGCAGCCACAGUUACAGACAUGACCGUGAGCAAAUAUGUUGAUGCCUUUUUACCGUCCAAUCCACCAUAAACACACCAUUUCCAUGCCCUUUCCCUAUGUCUUCAAACAAUGUGCCAAUGUUCUCUACCUUUGGGUUACAUAUCAUGAUUUCAAGUGCCAUUUAAAAAAAAUUAAAUGUUAUUAUGUAAAAGGCAUUUUAUGCCUUUUACAUUUGAUUUUGUGAUGUUGUACAAUUUCUUCAAACAGGUACAGUGUUACAUCCUGUGUGCAGCGAUCAGGAACUUCACAACGUCGCCUUCAUAUAACCCGUUGAAUGUUGGUUUUCUUCUAUAACUCUUUGCCUUUGCCACUCUCAUACAUUUGACACACUUGACUUGAAAUGCUGGUAAGACUGAACGUCUGUGUCUAUACAAAAUGUAAUCUGAAUUGGAUUAAGUUGUUCCUGUAAUACUCUAGCACUGAAGUGAUUGCCCCCCCCGCCACCUUCACCUCACUGCCAUAGAGAGGAACCUUCAAGUCAAAGGCUACAUACUGAAUGAAUAUACUCAUUUGCUGUGCAGUAAUAUGUCAUGGAAAAGCACAAAAAUGUUUCUUUAUCUCAUUUGAAAAGGAGUGUAUCUACUGUAUAUUCUUGUAAAUAUUCAAUUUAACGGUAUCUUAUCCAUUUUGUUUUGAGGAUUCCUUUUUCAUACUUGACACAGGCCUUUCUCUGAUGUGUGGGGUGAAUGAGAUGUAAGUACAAUAAGUACAGUAUUCAAACCACCUACCUUUAAAUGCUGAGGGUAGCUGUUUUGUUUCUUCAUAGUAGAACAGCAGUCUUGACCAACUGAGCUGUAUGAAAAAAGUCUGCAGUUGAUUUGACUUAUGACUUAAGGCUGUACACAUACACACAUACACACACACAUACACUCGCAUAUACUAAGCAUUUAGGGCCGGUUUUGUGGACUCUAGCCUGGGACUAAAAGAUCAAACUCAAUAAAAGAAACGGCCCUUAAUGUGAGAGUAUACAGCAGCAGUAAGGCAAUAUGGAGACCCCUGUUAUUAUAUUCUCUAUUAUUCUAAUAAAACCUUAAGAUAUAUUCAUCUCUGUUGUAUCUUCGCACAGUGUUCAUUUUACUAAAUUGAUAUGUCAUUCUCAAAUGUGCCUGAAUAUUUUUCCUAAUCUUACAAAAGUGACCUGUGGAAUGAAUGCAUAUGGAAGACAUGGGAAGGCAGGACAAAAAGAAAGGAAGACUUGACAGAUAAGUUGAAAGACAUGACAGAGAAAUGAGAAGACAGGACAGUAAUAAUAUAGACAGGCUGGAGAGAUAGGAACCUGUGGAAGGCACAUGGUGUUUUGACUCCAGAGCAUCAGUAUUAUUGUCAUGCCUGCUUUCCCCUUUUACGGAUAUCUGGUUCUCAACGAGGCUAAAUUAAGUCCAGUGCACUGAGGCCAUGGCUAUAGUAACAUUUCCCAAAAAUGUUUUACUCUGACACUGUUUAUAAUUAGUCAAACGUAUUGAGGUUUGAUGAUUGUAAACUAUAUAUUAUUGUUUAAUUAAUUACAUUCAAUUUGAAUCUCUGAAACAACGUCAGAUCGUCGAUGUUACACUGAACAAAAUUAUAAACACAACACUUUUUGCCCCCAUUUAUCAUGAGCUGAACCC